GGUUGGGUUAAGUCCCGCAACGAGCGCAACCCACGUCCUCAGUUGCCAUCAUUCAGUUGGGCACUCUGGGGAGACUGCCGGUGAUAAGCCGCGAGGAAGGUGUGGAUGACGUCAAGUCCUCAUGGCCCUUACGGGCUGGGCUACACACGUGCUACAAUGGCGGUGACAGAGGGAUGCCAACCCGCGAGGGUGCGCCAAUCUCAAAAAGCCGUCUCAGUUCGGAUUGCACUCUGCAACUCGAGUGCAUGAAGUUGGAAUCGCUAGUAAUCGUGGAUCAGCACGCCACGGUGAAUACGUUCCCGGGCCUUGUACACACCGCCCGU
rnacentral:rRNA from 1 species